CCUUGCCUACAAACUACCCAAUGCUGAAAAGUUGUAACAGUGCCCAAGUGCUAACUAUCCACCAGGAGCCUGUGUCCUGGUUCACAGGGACACCACCCUCCCCUAAGCCAGUGCAGGCUAGACAGAAACAGCAGUGGGGAGGUUGCUGUCCAGUUGGGGCCCUCAGUGCCUUCCAGCGUUCCUUGGGAUGGAAUUCAAGUUUGCCCUCACCUGCUCCCCUGCCGGGCUCAGGCGCAAAACUCCCGUGCACUCUCCCUGCCUUUGCACGUGCAGUUCCCUCUAUCUGGGAAGAUCUUUCCUGCAGCCUUCCCGCUGGUCCAGCUGCCCUCACCAAACCGGACGGCCCAGGAAGGGGGACGGGUACACCACAGGGCCCCGCGGCAAGCGAGGAAGGGCCUGGCGGGGGAGGAGAGAAGGAACAGAGGCGCUCCAGCCUCCAGCAUGUCUCUUCUCCCCGACUGCCGACCUCAGCCCGCAACGCGCCGGCCCAGGGUCCAAGAUCUGAGAGCGCGCGCGAGCUAGCCCAGGUCGCGGGGACUGUGGAGCCGGGACCCGGCAGCCGAGCCGGGACGGCGGGGACAGAGUCUUCGAAUCGUGGGCGGCGGAGUGACGUGGGGAGUGGGAGUUGAAUCACCCGGAGUAAGCUCCCCAAGAAGGAAAAUCCAAAUCACUUCCCACUACCCCAUAGGAAGCCCUCCCUGACCAGCCUCCCCAGACUGGGACUUGAUCAGGCCCUGAUAUCCUGGCUCCUGGUUACCUCCUGUUUCACUGUCCUGACUGUCCUGAUCUUCGCAUUGUGUUCAGGUAGAGCUUGUACCUCCCGCAAACUGGAACUCAGUGACUAUGUGGGAAAUGAAUGAAUGACAAUUUCUGGGGAAGUGAUGUCACAUCUAUCAUUAAACACAUCAGGGCCCAUCAACUCUGUGUCUUAUUAGUGCUCCUUUAGUGGCUCGUGUUGGGUUCUCUUUUUUUUUUUUUUUUUUUUUGCCACCUCUCCCCUUUUUGGACUUCGCUUUCCUGUAAGGACAAAAACAACAGCAGUAACAGUCACCUAUGCCAGGCAGAUACAGCCUUCAGAGAAUGUCCUUUAUUUAUGUCCCACUCUGCCCAGGGGGACAAGCCACACUCUCCCUCAUUUUACAGAUGGGUGAAUUCGGAAGGCUAAGUCUCACCCAGGGGCAGGA